UACGUAGGGUCCGAGCGUUGUCCGGAAUUACUGGGCGUAAAGAGCUCGUAGGUGGUUUGUCGCGUUGUUCGUGAAAACCGGGGGCUUAACCCUCGGCGUGCGGGCGAUACGGGCAGACUUGAGUACUGCAGGGGAGACUGGAAUUCCUGGUGUAGCGGUGGAAUGCGCAGAUAUCAGGAGGAACACCGGUGGCGAAGGCGGCGACCUGGUCCGUGACUGACGCUGAGGCGCGAAAGCGUGGGGAGCGAACAGG
rnacentral:rRNA from 1 species